AGAAUGUAGAUACCUAGUGUAUAGUAUAAACAGGGAUAGAUAACUGCUGAAAAGGUGGUUCAGUAGGUAGAAUGGAUGAAUAGUCAGGAAAAGUAAUUAUCAUCUGUAAUAUAGGAGUUAGUAUCUCGAGGUAGUAUAAGGAGGAUGGGAGAGGGGAAGAAAAUACCAAACUGUGAGAGUCAUAAGCCGAGGGCCAGACUGUGAGAGUUGUGAGCCAGGGUAAGCUUGGUGCUACCUCUUUUCUUUUGUUUGUUAUUUUCUUUGAAUAAGAGGAUUGAAAGUUUUUGGAUAUUGUGAAGUGAAUUAUGGAAAUGUGAUUAGUAUUAUUUGAGAAGAAGAAAGAUUGAAUGCUGAAAUCUGAUUGUAGUUCAGCAUAGAGAAUGAGUCUAUGUUUGUGUGAAACAUUGUAAUGUGAAUGGCAGUUCUAUGUGAAGAAUUCCAGAGAUUGGAACAAGGGUAAUUAUGUACUGAAAGCUGUGAAGGCACAAUAUUACAGUUGGAGAUUAUGAGGGUGAAUAUAUUGGUGGAAAUAGCAGUUAUUAGUAUGACUGAAUUGCUGUAAGGAAGAGAUCGAUAAAGUGAAGGAAGAGAUUAUAGUUUCCUUCUGUGUUCAGAUAUUAGAAAUAGAGACGAUACAUUCAGGAGGUAAUUGAUUGUGUGACCCUAACGUGAAUGCUUAAGCAACUAGUCAUUCGUCGUGUUUGAAUCUCCCUAUACGGGUUUAUUCUGGGAGGUUUCUUUUGGAAUAAGUAAAACGAGCAAUCACAUUUUGGCGUUGCUGCCGAUGAGUAAUAAUAGCUUUGAGAGUUAGAAAUUAAUUACCGAACGUGUGAAAAAAUUGGCAAUGGAAGACGAUUUCAGUAGUAUUUGAAGAAAGAGUAUGGUUAUUAAGAAUGAGAAUUUAACAGCAAAGAGAAUAAAGUAAUCAAAGGAAAGAACAGAGCGAUCGCAAGCAAGAAAUUUGUUGUGUAAUGAGCGAGAUCACAAAUUAAAAAAGAAGCAUCAACAAAAUUAGAUUAAGCCAUGGUUGCAUGUCUGUCGGCAUAUUCGAUCGUACCCAGAAGACGAUCGACCUCUAAUAUUUCAGAAGUACAUACCGUUAAAGAAAUUGCCAAGAGCACUCAUAGAGAGCGCUGCUAAUAGUCCAGCAAACCUCUCGAAGCCGUUAACGGAAAACGAAGAAGGCACAGAGGAAUUAGGUAUCCCACUAGGUAUCUUUUCAAUUCAAAAUACGUCCGAUCUUAACAAGACUGGUUCUGAAGAUUGACAUAAAUUACUUGCCAAUAAAGACCAAUUCAGAGUAUAUCAAAACCUGUCGUUUUCACCUCAUAUUCAACUAGUAAAAUUAUUUGGAGAUAAUAAUAGUCAAUCGGGAAGGCCUGAAAGUCUGAAAAAGACUUUUGCAGGAGAUAAUUUUUAUUUUAAUAAGAAAUUGAGCAGAACACCGGCAUCUUUAAUGAUGUCUAGAGGACUAGCAGUUCCGAUUGCAGUUCAAAUGGGUACAGUGGACGAUCAAACGACUAGCAUCAUGUCAUUACCUACUUUUCGGGGUUUGCUAGGUGUGGAUCCAGAUCAACAUUUGUCUCAAUUCUUGAUGGCGUGUGUAGCCAAUAAUGGAAGAACAGAAGACAUUUGGCUGAGAUGGCUGCCAGCAACAUUGAAAGACAUAGCUUUUGAGUGGUAUAACUAUCAACCUGUGGAACAAUUUAUCAAUUGGGAGGUAUUGAAAAAUAUAUUUUUAGUCCAUUUUCGACCAAUUGGUUUUGAAGAACGUCUUAGAAAAAAACUAAUGAACAGCAGAAUGGUACCAGGAGAAGUGGUACAGUCAUAUUAUGGUCGUGUAGCGGAUAUACUUCAAAAAUGGCCAAAUAACCAAAUGCCAGAAUCAUUUGUAUUGUCCAUAUUGGUUAAUGGACUAUACCCACCAGAAUUAAAAAUGUUUGUAAAGGAGGUCCAAUCAGCUACCAUUGCAUCAUCUCUUGAGCGAGCAAAAGUAUGGAAGGAAUGUUUCUAUGACCAGAACUUAACAGUUGGAGCCACAAUGAUUCCAUCUCAAGGAGGUUAUCAAAUGACAAAUUAGAAUGACGCAUCCGAAAGUUAUUUGGGAAAGAAUGAUUAUAAUACAAUUCCACAGGGAAUAGUGGAUGCCAUUCCAUUGCAAGCUGUACCACCAUCAUCAUCAUCCAUAUGCACCUUAUUUCGCAUAUCAAAAAUCAAUACCUACAAAGAAAUUGCCAAAUGCAUUGGUAUCAAGGGAUCCCAAUGAGUCAUUGUUGUUAAUAUUGACAAAAAAAAUGGAUGAAUUGGCUGUAAAUGUGGCCAAGGAUAAAGAAAAAAGGCAUAAACUAACCAAUAUGCAUCCCAAUGUCUCGUGCAGCAAUUGUAAGGGGCAAGGUCAUUUAACAACAGAAUAUCCUUCACCACCCCAAAUGAUUGUAUAAUGUACCUUUUGCGAGGGCAAGCAUAUUACCACCAAUUGUUGGAAUUUAUGGAAGCAACAACAACUCAAUAACCAGAUAAUGAAUCAACCAACUUCGUGGGAUGUCAAUCAAGUACAAACAAAUAAUAGGUUUGGUUGGAAUGGAAAUCAAGCGAAUAAACAAAAUAGGAAUUAUUCUAAUUUUCUCAACUCUGAAUUUCACCAAGAAGGUGUAUCCAAUAUUCAUGGAUUGGCGAUGAACCAACCAGGAUACCAUCAAUAUCUACCCAUGAUGAAGCCAAUGCCAGACUUUAUAGUAACAAUGAGUCAAGCAGGAUCCUUUACUCAUCCGAAAUGGAACAGACCUAGCCGUAAUAUACGAGUAGAGAUACCCAUUAUCCCUGAAUGAAGUGGUAGGAGACCACUUUGUUGCUAUCGUUGAAGACAAAUCAGACAUUAUGUGAGUGAAUGUCCUAAUCCAAGGGCAAGUGAUGACUAUGCUCCAAUAUAUGGAAAUUGUAAGCAGUCUAGUCACACUUAUCAGCAAUGCAAUGCACCCUUUAAUUAUAAUAACCGAGACCAGCAAAUGCAAAUAAGCCAACUGGUAGAGGACAAAGGCCCUGUUCAAUGAAACUCACUAGUACAUCGUAUCGAGGUGGUGAACGCAUUGCUUACCAAAGGCCAACAAAAAGAUAAGAAUUCAAUUCAAAACAAAGAUGAACCAAUUGCAAGAGAAAUUGGUAUGGAGUGACCAAAACAGAUGUGAAACAGAGCGGAUAAGGGCUGAAAUUGAGGCCUUGAACACCGAAGUGACAAGAUUGGCAGAGAAUGUAGUCAAUAUUGGUCAAACAUAAGUAUCGACGUUGCCAGUUUCUAAAAUUCCAGAAGAGAGGAGUCACUUUCAGUGCUAGUUGGAAUUGAGAGAUACCCAGAUCCUGAAAUUGGAAGCUCAAGUCCGUGAACUGGGUGAGUACAAUGAAGACCUUUCAGCUCAGUUGAGGCAGGAACCGAUGGAAGAAUUGGAGGAGGAUGAAGAUUUGCAGUUGGAACCAGAAUCGGUGGAACCAAUAACAGAUACUGCGGCAAUUGAUUAAUUAGAUAGGUCAGAGGGAUCGCAAUUUUUGUAGAGUUUUGUUAGAUAAUUUUUAGAUAGAUAUCAAUUGAGUGUUUGCGAGGACGCUGCACAGUUAGGAGUGGGGCUAUGUAGAAUAAGUAGUUAUUUUCAGAAUAUAGAUACCUAGUGUAUAGUGUAAACAGGGAUAGAUAAUUGCUGAAAAGGUGGUUCAGUAGGUAGAAUGGAUGAAUAGUCAGGAAAAGUAAUUAUCAUCUGUAGUAUAGGAGUUGGUAUCUCAGGGUAGUAUAAGGAGGAUGGGAGAGAGGAAGAAAAUACCAAACUGUGAGAGUCGUAAGCCGAGGGCCAAACUGUGAGAGUCGUGAGCCGGGGUAAGCUUGGUGCUACCUCUUUUCUUUUGUUUGUUAUUUUCUUUGAAUAAGAGGAUUGAAAGUUUUUGGAUAUUGUGAAGUGAAUUAUGGAAAUGUGAUUGGUAUUAUUUGAGAAGAAGAAAGAUUGAAUGCUGAAAUCUGAUUGUAGUUCAGCAUAGAGAAUGAGUCUAUGUUUGUGUGAAACAUUGUAAUGUGAAUGGCAGUUCUGUGUGAAGAAUUUUAGAGAUUGGAACAAGGGUAAUUAUGUACUGAAAGCUGUGAAGGCGCAAUAUUACAGUUGGAGAUUAUGAGGGUGAAUAUAUUGGUGGAAAUAGCAGCUAUUAGUAU
rnacentral:lncRNA from 1 species